UAUAAAUUUGGAAAAAGAAAUUAAUUGAUCGAACGAAGAAUUAAGCGGUAUAUAUACAUAUAUAUAUACAUAUAUAUAUAUAUAUAUUAAAGUUAAGAUAUAAGAAAAUUUUAGAAUCACCGAAUUCUAUAUGAUAUAGCGAACGAAGAUUUAUAUAUGUAUAUAUAUAUGUAUGUAUAUAUAUUUAUAUCUGUAUAUAUAUAUAUACAUAUAUGUAUGUACUUAUUUAGAUUAAAAUUCUGAUCAUGUUGAUCUAAAGCGGAUCAGUGCUAUAUUGAACGAUCAUUUGAUCGACGAAACAACUUUGACGACGAAGCAACUUUCCUAUUUAUCAUUUGCAAAUUGACAUGGGAAAUGAGUGAGAAUGAAGAUAAUUAUAU